UACGAAGGUUGCAAGCGUUACUCGGAAUUACUAGGCGUAAAGGGCAGGUAGGUGGUUUGGUAAGUCUAUUGUGAAAGCUCCCGGCUUAACUGGGAGAGGCCAAUGGAUACUGCCAAGCUUGAGUAUAGGAGAGGUUACUGGAAUUCCCGGUGUAGCGGUGAAAUGCGCAGAUAUCGGGAGGAACACCAAUGGCGAAAGCAGGUAACUGGACUAUUACUGACGCUCAGGCACGAAAGCAUGGGGAGCAAAAGGG
rnacentral:rRNA from 1 species